rnacentral:rRNA from 1 species
AUGCACGCUGGCGGCGUGCUUAACACAUGCAAGUCGAACGGAAAGGCCACAGCUUGCUGUGGUACUCGAGUGGCGAACGGGUGAGUAACACGUGGGUGAUCUGCCCUGUACUUCGGGAUAAGCUUGGGAAACUGGGUCUAAUACCGGAUAGGAAUCACAUGUGGGUGUGUGGUUGGAAAGCUUUUGCGGUAUGGGAUGAGCUCGCGGCCUAUCAGCUUGUUGGUGGGGUAAUGGCCUACCAAGGCGUCGACGGGUAGCCGGCCUGAGAGGGUGUACGGCCACAUUGGGACUGAGAUACGGCCCAGACUCCUACGGGAGGCAGCAGUGGGGAAUAUUGCACAAUGGGCGCAAGCCUGAUGCAGCGACGCCGCGUGGGGGAUGACGGCCUUCGGGUUGUAAACUCCUUUCGUCAGGGACGAAGCGAAAGUGACGGUACCUGGAGAAGAAGCACCGGCUAACUACGUG